GAAGAUUUAAUCCUAAAACUGAGAGCCUCAACGAAAAGAAAGAACACAGUGAAAACCAAACCCCUGAGAUCAACGCAUUGCCUUAUCAGCGAAAAAUCCUGAACAUAAAAGUCUCAAUAUGUGAAAAAAAAUCAUUGAAGGGGAAAACGAAGAUAAAUCAUCCUUCAGAGUGUAAAACCAUAUCAACAUCAAUCAACCCAAAUAAGUCCCAAAUGAAUAAAUCCGGUAAACUCAAGCCAUAAACCAAUUCAGAUCUAACAAAAGAACAUCACAUGAUCUUCUCAAGCAAACUCAAAUAAAUAUAUCUAUAACAUUUAUACCAUAAAUAAUGACAAUAACAAAUUAUAUAAGAGCACUAUAAUAAACUGGGGGCACCUCCUUGCAUCAUGGCAUGUACAAUUUGGAAAGAGCUCUUAACACAUGCACUUGCAACCUCAAUUGGAAGAUAUACUCGGCGGUGCGCACAAAAAGCUGCUCGGCCGGCAACUCCCUUCCCCCCGGCACGAGACUUUGGAGCUCCCUCACCUUGCUCCACGCCGACCCAUGAAGGGCUCGCCUCCCUUUCCGCCGACGGGCCUUUUUUGGCCCGGCGGGCGCACGCCGGCACCCUCUCACCUCCUCUCGCCGUGGACUCCUCAUUAGAAGAAGGUGGUGGCGACUGGUGAAGGAAGGAGAGAAGAAUACGGGAGGAGUUUAUAAAUGAGGAAGGUGCGAGAAGGGGAGAUAUAUAGAGGGGAAAAAGAAGGCCAUGUGCGCCACCCGGGCUUUGCCCUCGGAGGAAGGGUGGCUUAAAAAAAAAAAAUCUAA
rnacentral:lncRNA from 1 species